UGAACGCUGGCGGCGUGCCUACUACAUGCAAGUCGAGCGAACGGACGUGAAGCUUGCUUCUCUGAUGUUAGCGGCGGACGGGUGAGUAACACGUGGAUAACCUACCUAUAAGACUGGGAUAACUUCGGGAAACCGGAGCUAAUACCGGAUGAUAUUUUGAACCGCAUGGUUCAAAAGUGAAAGACGGUCUUGCUGUCACUUAUAGAUGGAUCCGCGCUGCAUUAGCUAGUUGGUAAGGUAACGGCUUACCAAGGCAACGAUGCAUAGCCGACCUGAGAGGGUGAUCAGCCACACUGGAACUGAGACACGGUCCAGACUCCUACGGGAGGCAGCAGUAGGGAAUCUUCCGCAAUGGGCGAAAGCCUGACGGAGCAACGCCGCGUGAGUGAUGAAGGUCUUCGGAUCGUAAAACUCUGUUAUUAGGGAAGAACAUAUGUGUAAGUAACUGUGCACAUCUUGACGGUACCUAAUCAGAAAGCCACGGCUAACUACGUG
rnacentral:rRNA from 1 species